rfam:Trichobilharzia regenti genome assembly, scaffold: TRE_scaffold0041041
UGACUUCGAAAUUUCGAUGUCCAGCAGCCUGGCUUCUUUAUUAGGAAGUCAUCUGCACUGCAGUCAGGACUGCGGUACACAGCAGUGAGGUCAAUAUCUUGUCCUAUGCACUAAAAUCUGCAGCGUAGAUGUUUGCACGAUUCACUUUCGUGAGCGAGUUCUUCGAUGCGACGCACGGUUAACCAUCUCUUGAGGACGAUAGCCAUCGAAGUCGAAAACCGCUAACGAUUUUGCAGCAACUCACUUGCCGAAUCAAGCAGCUCUGAGAAUGGAUGGAGCUCGAGCGUUGGACCUAUGCCGUAUCGUUGCUGCAAGCUGAAUCUGAGCAGGCUGGGGGCAAACUGAUUCGAUCCAAGCAUGGAUUGACGGCGACGAGUUGGACGGUCGCUGCGGCUAGAGGGAAGACUCGGGUGUAAGCCUAGGUGAAACAACUACAGGUGCAUAUCUUAGUAAUAGUGGCAAAUAUUCAAGUGAGAACCUUGAAGGUCGAAGUGGAGAAAUGUUCCAUGGGAACGGCAGUUAGCCACGGGUCGGGCGGUAGUACUAUGAACAGUCAACCAUGCGUUGAUUCCUGAUAUAGUAUCGUUUGUGAGAAAUAAAAUUUUAACGUAUGUCGAGCGCGGUAGCAGUUUUCUGUUCUGCCGGGGUUGUGGUACUGACCAUAUAGCUAUGAUUGGUGUCAUGAAUACUGGGGAAGUAAGGUCCCGUCUUUCGCCACGUUUGCUUUCCGCGGCUUUCUUUCCCUGCAGUGUAAGUUUCUUUCCGUCCUUCAGUACAGUGUCGCCGAUGAUUUGUCCUUAUCUCGCUUUUUGAGGGAGACUACACCACGCUAUUCUUUUGCG